AUUGAACGCUGGCGGCAUGCCUUACACAUGCAAGUCGAACGGGAACAGGUCUUCGGAUGCUGACAAGUGGCGAGCGGGUGAGUAAUACAUCGGAACGUGCCUAGUAGUGGGGGAUAACUACUCGAAAGAGUGGCUAAUACCGCAUGAGAUCUACGGAUGAAAGCAGGGGAUCGCAAGACCUUGUGCUACUAGAGCGGCCGAUGGCAGAUUAGGUAGUUGGUGGGAUAAAAGCUUACCAAGCCGACGAUCUGUAGCUGGUCUGAGAGGACGAUCAGCCACACUGGGACUGAGACACGGCCCAGACUCCUACGGGAGGCAGCAGUGGGGAAUUUUGGACAAUGGGCGCAAGCCUGAUCCAGCAAUGCCGCGUGCAGGAUGAAGGCCUUCGGGUUGUAAACUGCUUUUGUACGGAACGAAAAGCCCCGGGUUAAUACCCUGGGGUCAUGACGGUACCGUAAGAAUAAGCACCGGCUAACUACGUGCCAGCCGCCGCAGUAA
rnacentral:rRNA from 1 species